rnacentral:rRNA from 1 species
GAUGAACGCUGGCGGCGUGCCUAAUACAUGCAAGUCGAGCGAACAGAUGAGGAGCUUACUCCUCUGACGUUAGCGGCGGACGGGUGAGUAACACGUGGAUAACCUACCUAUAAGACUGGGAUAACUACGGGAAACCGGAGCUAAUACCGGAUAAUAUAUUGAACCGCAUGGUUCAAUAGUGAAAGACGGUUUUGCUGUCACUUAUAGAUGGAUCCGCGCCGCAUUAGCUAGUUGGUAAGGUAACGGCUUACCAAGGCAACGAUGCGUAGCCGACCUGAGAGGGUGGUCGGCCAGACUGGAACAGAGACAGGGUCCAGACUCCUACAGGAGGCAGCAGUAGGGAAUCUUCCGCAAGGGGCGAGAGCCUGACAGAGCAACGCCGCGUGAGUGAUGAAGGUCUUCGGAUCGUAAAACUCUGUUAUUAGGGAAGAACAAAUGUGUAAGUAACUAUGCACGUCUUGACGGUACCUAAGCAGAAAGCCACGGCUAACUACGUG